rnacentral:rRNA from 1 species
UACGGGGGGGGUAAGCGUUGUUCGGAAUUACUGGGCGUAAAGGGCUCGUAGGCGGCCAACUAAGUCGGACGUGAAAUCCCUCAGCUUAACUGGGGAACUGCGUCCGAUACUGGAUGGCUUGAGUUUGGGAGAGGGAUGCGGAAUUCCAGGUGUAGCGGUGAAAUGCGUAGAUAUCUGGAGGAACACCGGUGGCGAAGGCGGCAUCCUGGACCAACACUGACACUGAUGAGCGAAAGCCAGGGGAGCAAACGGG